GAGGGCUGCAGGUGAGAAGACCUGAGGGAUUUUCAAAGACGAGGAGGAAUCUGAGGCAGGCCUGGAAAGACGGGCUUCUGAACAGGAUCCUUCAAAUUGACUCCAGGGAAAAGGAUACCCAAGUGGGAACUUGGGUCAAGCCUGGGACAGGAAGCACAGCUGGACUGCGUGGAACUGGGGCAUCAUUAGGUGGUUUUCCUCUCCAUUCACCUCUUUCCCUCUGAGACCAAGUUGUCUUUCCUACCUCCCUCUAUAUGUCUGUCCACUCUCCUCCCUGAAGGCCGGCUUCCUCUACUCAUGUAUCACCACACAUGGCUGCCAGCGGCAAGUGCAAAGGACCUUCUGAUUGCCAGCACCCACCACCUUCAGACUGCCUCAGCCUUCCGCUACAUAGUUCAGAUUCCCAGGGAAAUAAACUGAUCGGCUUGGCCUAAUUCAGAAGGAAGAGACACCCAGGACCACAGCUGGAAGACCCUCCAUCUCGUGGUGCCCAGUUCCAGAUCGGGUGCUGACAGGAAGGUGAUGAUGGUCAUAGUGAAACGGAGCAGGACCCUGUGGUCCUCACCCGCCAUGUCCUCUGCCUGCAUUUUGUCUGUGGAAAAACUUCAGCCAAAGAAUAAGUUUAAUCAG